rnacentral:tRNA from 1 species
GCGGGCGUGGCGAAGUUGGUAGCCGCGCGAGUCUCAGGUACUCGUGGCCUUGUGCCGGGGAGGUUCGAAUCCUCUCGCCCGCACCA